ACGGGUGAGUAACACGUGGGUAACCUGCCCAUAAGACUGGGAUAACUCCGGGAAACCGGGGCUAAUACCGGAUAAUAUUUUGAACUGCAUGGUUCGAAAUUGAAAGGCGGCUUCGGCUGUCACUUAUGGAUGGACCCGCGUCGCAUUAGCUAGUUGGUGAGGUAACGGCUCACCAAGGCAACGAUGCGUAGCCGACCUGAGAGGGUGAUCGGCCACACUGGGACUGAGACACGGCCCAGACUCCUACGGGAGGCAGCAGUAGGGAAUCUUCCGCAAUGGACGAAAGUCUGACGGAGCAACGCCGCGUGAGUGAUGAAGGCUUUCGGGUCGUAAAACUCUGUUGUUAGGGAAGAACAAGUGCUAGUUGAAUAAGCUGGCACCUUGACGGUACCUAACCAGAAAGCCACGGCUAACUACGUGCCAACAGCCGCGGUAAUACGUAGGUGGCAAGCGUUAUCCGGAAUUAUUGGGCGUAAAGCGCGCGCAGGUGGUUUCUUAAGUCUGAUGUGAAAGCCCACGGCUCAACCGUGGAGGGUCAUUGGAAACUGGGAGACUUGAGUGCAGAAGAGGAAAGUGGAAUUCCAUG
rnacentral:rRNA from 1 species